GAUGAAGAACGCAGCGAAAUGCGAUAAGUAGUGUGAAUUGCAGAAUUCAGUGAAUCAUCGAAUCUUUGAACGCACAUUGCGCCCCUUGGUAUCCCGAGGGGCAUGCCUGUUCGAGCGUCAUUUCACCACUCAAGCCUGGCUUGGUGUUGGGCGACGUCCUCUUUGGGGACGCGCCUCGAAACGCUCGGCGGCGUGGCACCGGCUUUAAGCGUUGCAGAAUCUUUCGCUUUGGAAGUCGGGGCCCCGUCUGCCGGAAGACCUGCUCGCAAGGUUGACCUCGGAUCAGGCAGGGAUACCCGCUGAACUUAAGCAUAUCAAUAAGCGGAGGA
rnacentral:misc_RNA from 1 species